CCUCCGCCUCCGCCUCCGCCUCCAGCGGCCUCUCUUUCCCCCACCCCAAGCCCCGCUCACGUCUGAUAACUGCAGGGAGGACACAACCGUGAGUCAGAGUCGCGUGGUUGCUGGAAGCUUCCAUCGUCCCCGCCCCCACUGGACUCUAGGUGCAAGUUUCGUUUUCCUUAAGUUUCACGUCUUCUCAACUAGUCAGGGAAUGGAAACAGCCUAGAUGUCUAUUAUCCGGUGAAAGGAGAAUGAAGAUGUGGAACAUAUACACAAUGGAACAAUAUUCAACUAUAAAAGAAAAAUGAAAUUUGCAGUUGCUGAAUAUAAUGGACUGAGGCUUUGCACAUGGACUUUUGAAUGGCAAUUAUACAAAUGACAGUGGCUCUGGACUGUUUAAGAAAGCUAACUAAGUACGACCCAACAAGCAAGCCAGCAAGCAGCAUUCUCCCAUUUUUUUUUUUCUGUUUUAGUCAUGGACUGUAUCUGUAAGCUGAAAUAAACACUUUCUUCCCCUAAAUUGCUUUUGGUCAGAGUGUUUUAUCACAGCAAUAGGGUGAAAACAGAGCACAUGCCAGUAUUUGC
rnacentral:lncRNA from 1 species